ACAGCCAUACCAUGGUGAAUAUACCGGUUCUCGUUAGAUCACCGAAGUCAAGCAUCAUUGGGCGCGGUCAGUCUUACCAUCUGGGAACACCGCGUGCCGUU